rnacentral:rRNA from 1 species
UACGUAGGUGACAAGCGUUGUCCGGAUUUACUGGGCGAAAGAGCGCGCAGGCGGUCGAUCAAGUCGAGUGUGAAAGCCCCCGGCUCAACUGGGGAGGGUCAUUCGAUACUGAUCGACUCGAAGGCAGGAGAGGGUAGUGGAAUUCCCGGUGUAGUGGUGAAAUGCGUAGAUAUCGGGAGGAACACCAGUGGCGAAGGCGACUACCUGGCCUGUUCUUGACGCUGAGGCGCGAAAGCUAGGGGAGCAAACGGGG